rnacentral:lncRNA from 1 species
UGUUUUAUGAUUGCUCUAAGUUGGUGUGACAAUUUGUGUCACACCUUUUGAUGUUCAACUUGUAUGAUGUGUUUGCCAUGCCAAAUGAUCUCCAAUUGUCCUGAUUUUUUGUAUGAUGAUCUUGUUAUAUGUCUUGAACAUGCUUGAUUUUUGUUGGAAUUAUUUGAAUCAUUUCUGAUUUAAUUGAGAUUUUUCAUUCUGGUUGGUCACAUAUGAGCUUUAAAAUUGCCUUGAACUUCAUUUGAUCAUGAAA